GCAACAGCGACCACGGCAACCACGACGAGAUGCAGCAAAUGAGGGUUAUGGAGGAGGACCAAGUGAUAUGUCAUUAUUAACACAAUACGGAAAUCAUAGGGCGGUUCCGAUAUGGGAUGCAGAACCAGAUGAUCACGAGGUUUUAAAGAGGACUCUGCGUUGCCAAGCUAGCGG